rnacentral:rRNA from 1 species
UACGUAGGGGGCUAGCGUUGUCCGGAAUCAUUGGGCGUAAAGCGCGUGUAGGCGGCCCAGUAAGUCCGCUCAUGAAAUCCCGCAGCUCAACUGCGGAACUGCAUUGGAUACUAUCCGGCUAGAGGAAUGGAGGGGAGACUGGGAAUCGUCGGUGUAGCGGUGAAAUGCGUAGAUAUCGAGAGGAACAACCUGCGGCGAAGGCGGGUCGCUGGGCCGACACGAUGACCGCUGAGGCGACGAAAGCCAGGGAGCGAACGGG